UGGGGAAUUUUGGACAAUGGGGAACCCUGAUCCAGCCAUCCCGCGUGUGCGAUGAAGGCCUUCGGGUUGUAAAGCACUUUUGGCAGGAAAGAAACGUCGCGGGUUAAUACCCCGCGAAANUGACGGUACCUGCAGAAUAAGCACCGGCUAACUACGUGCCAGCAGCCGCGGUAAUACGUAGGGUGCAAGCGUUAAAUCGGAAUUACUGGGGCGUAAAAGCGUGCGCAGGCGGUUCGGAAAGAAAGAUGUGAAAUCCCAGAGCUUAACUUUGGAACUGCAUUUUUUAACUACCGGGCUAGAGUGUGUCAGAGGGAGGUGGAAUUCCGCGUGUAGCAGUGAAAAUGCGUAGAUAUGCGGAGGAACACCGAUGGCGAAGGCAGCCUCCUGGGAUAACACUGACGCUCAUGCANGAAAAGCGUGGGGAGCAAACAGGAUUAGAUACCCUGGUAGUCACGCCCUAAACGAUGUCAACUAGCUGUUGGGGCCUUNGGGCCUUGGUAGCGCAGCUAACGCGU
rnacentral:rRNA from 1 species